GUGCCAGCAGCCGCGGUAAUACGUAGGGUGCGAGCGUUGUCCGGAAUUACUGGGCGUAAAGAGCUCGUAGGUGGUUUGUCGCGUUGUUCGUGAAAACUCACAGCUUAACUGUGGGCGUGCGGGCGAUACGGGCAGACUAGAGUACUGCAGGGGAGACUGGAAUUCCUGGUGUAGCGGUGGAAUGCGCAGAUAUCAGGAGGAACACCGGUGGCGAAGGCGGGUCUCUGGGCAGUAACUGACGCUGAGGAGCGAAAGCGUGGGGAGCGAACAGGAUUAGAUACCCUGGUAGUCCACGCCGUAAACGGUGGGUACUAGGUGUGGGUUCCUUCCUUGGGAUCCGUGCCGUAGCUAACGCAUUAAGUACCCCGCCUGGGGAGUACGGCCGCAAGGCUAAAACUCAAAGGAAUUGACGGGGGCCCGCACAAGCGGCGGGGCAUGUGGAUUAAUUCGAUGCAACGCGAAGAACCUUACCUGGGUUUGACAUGCACAGGACGCCGGCAGUAAUGUCGGUGCCCUUGUGGCCUGUGUGCAUGUCAUGCCAUNAGGGGCGAU
rnacentral:rRNA from 1 species